rnacentral:rRNA from 1 species
ACGGAGGGUGCAAGCGUUAUCCGGAUUUACUGGGUUUAAAGGGUGCGUAGGCGGGUUUGUAAGUCAGUGGUGAAAGCCCGGAGCUCAACUCCGGAACUGCCAUUGAUACUGCAUACCUUGAGUACAGUUGAGGUGGGCGGAAUGCAGCAUGUAGCGGUGAAAUGCUUAGAUAUGCUGCAGAACACCGAUUGCGAAGGCAGCUCGCUAAACUGUAACUGACGCUGAGGCACGAAAGCGUGGGGAGCGAACAGG